AAAGUCGUAACAAGGUCUCCGUAGGUGAACCUGCGGAGGGAUCAUUACCAGAAGCCGCGCCGGCCGCAACGCCGGCGCCUUCGCCCAACCCUUUGUGAAUCGCGCCCGAUUUCCCCGGGGGGACCGCCUGCCCUGCGCGCGCGGCCCCCCGGCGGACCCCUCCAACUCGUGUUGUGCCUGCCGUCCGAGUCUUAUGAGAAAUCAAACAAAAACUUUCAACAACGGAUCUCUUGGUUCUG
rnacentral:misc_RNA from 1 species